AAAAAAAAUCACAAACCAACCACCCGCACGUACGACCGAGGUCUCUUGCCCUCGAGCGAGAAACAGUCGCCCAACUCUGUGCCCUCGUUCGCCGCCGCCGCCCUUCGUCCCCUCACCACCACCGCUAGAUCCCUUCGCCACCGCUCGGUGCCGCCAGGCCCCGACCUCCUCCCCGGCUCCCGGCGCCGCCCGCCCCCCAUCUGCUCCCCCGAUCCCAGCUAAGCCCGGCCCCACCUUCUCUCUCACUCUUGGCGGCGAUCCCCGUGGUGUCCCCGGACCGGAGGCCGUCGAGGAUGUAGAGCGCCGGGAGCGCGGCGCCGACGAGGAACCCCCCAUGAUGUGCGCGGCAAGGAGGAGGCGCUCGGGGCCGAGGAAGACGGGCGCGGACGGGUUGGGCUUCCUGGGCGCUGCGGGAAGGUGAGCCUGGCUAGGAGGAGUAGGUAGGGAAAGGACGGCGACUCGCCGGCAGGUCACCGGCGCCGGGAGGCGGUGAGGUCGUCUCUCUCGCUCGCCUCUCCCCUUCUCCCCAUCUCGCAUCUCCUUCUUGCACUGUCGGUGCUGCCGUCCAGUACGUGCCGCGGCGAUCCCCAUGAUGCGCUGGCCAUCUGAACCAGAUCGACGCCAACGAGAAGUCUCUAAUGUCCCGUGCGGCGGCCACGGGUCCAUCUUAAGUCGGCGGCGAGCUAUGGUGAGGUACACAUGGCGCUGAUGGAUGCACUGUACAGGGGCGCCGCCGCCACUGAGCUGGCCACCGGCUUUUGCCUGCCGUGCUGCCGCGACGGGCACUCCCUCCUCGGCUUUGUCAGGGUCCUCCUGCCCUGCGUUUAUGUGCUGCUCCUCGUCAUCAUCUCCGUGGGCAAUGCCCUUGAACCCCAUUCUCCAACCAUCUGGCAGCAUGCUGGACGUCGUCCUCCUCGACGCGGCCGUCCCCGACGAGCUCUCUUUGUCGGAGAAGGUGGGGCAGCAAGGCAUCCUAUCCUCCAGCGCGUGGACCGACGGCUGAGUCCUCCUGCUCUCCUAGCGUGGACAUUUAUCCGCACUGAUUGUUUCCACGACAGUAAACUAUAUGUAUAUCUAGGAUAUGAUGGAAGCGUGCAGUAGCAUGAGAGGUCUUUCCUAAUUCUAGGACAAGAUGUGAAGCUUGUAUCUGAUUUAUAAGGUCUGAACACCAUGGCAAUCUCAAUCUUGUUCGGCAUCCAAUGGCUCCUAAUUCUUUUACAACGGCUCUGCUCGGGAUUUGUGUCGAUGACGUCCAUUGACAAAGUGGUUCCAAGAGGUAGAGAGGCUGGUGCGGGACGUUGUGGAGAGUGACGUCAAAUGGGGGUCUGUCCGGGCAUCACUGCUGCUGGAGCUGCAGCGCCGGUACACGGAGAUCAACGGGAAGAGGGCCAUCAACGAGACCCGCAUGAGCCUCAUGGAGGAGGACCCAUAUGUACUAACAUACACAAGAUGACAGAGAAGUUCUCCGCUCUUCAGCUCAAAGUGAAGGAGGUGGAUGCAUUGCAGAAUCACUCCUCCAACAGGUGAACUAAUUAAUUUGCAUUGUCUUCUUUUUGAACUUAUUUCUGAAAGCAGUUUCUGAACUCUGAAAUUGUGUGACUAAUGCUGAAGUGAUCUGUUGUGUUAACUCCUUUUGAAUCUCUUGAUUCUUUUGAUUCUCUUAAAUCAUUGCAAUCUCUUGACCCGAGGGCUACCGAUGAGUCUCCGCGGCGGAUAUCCCCCAAAAAAGAUAAAGAAACAGAUCCCCAUGGAGAUUCCCUCACUGCACGGAAGUUUUCUUGGACGGCGACCUCACUACCCAGCCGGUAGCAGCGUCGCCUUCCUGGUAGGCACCCGGCGGAUGGGUUCCUGGUGGACCGUCCCGUGCAGUCCGAUGACUGCGUGGCCGCGCUCAUCCAGACGGAGAUGGAGCACAUGCCCGUGGACGGGUACCCCCAGAUGCUGCGGCGGCUCGGGGCCUUGUAUUUGGCCGCCAUCACGAGGGACACCAUAGAUAGGACCUGGAAGGUUCCUCUCGGUAGCAACUGAAGCAACCCUGCUAAAAUCCCAUAAAGUACUUGUUGGAAUCAUGGAGAAAUUGGUUUCUCAUGGCUUGCUUGUGUGACAUAGCUCUUGGCAGUGACUUGCUUCUGUCUCGCUCGUGGACCAGCAGGUCAGUGACUGAUGCAUCUCAUCUCAUGAAAGACCUCCUCAUACACCGUUGAGGGGUUCUGUCUUCUCAGUUUUGUCUCAAUUAAUCGACGGUUUUUGCUUGACACACGAUUGAGGCAAAGUCUGUGUUUGAGGCAAGGACAAUAAAAAUGAUGGAGCUUUUGGUGCUCAGCACCUUGAAAUGGAGGAUGCAAGUUGUUACUGCUUGCUCGUUUAUUGGCUACUUCCUUUGCAAAUUCAAUGAUCAUGACACACCCUCCAUGCUCGCAUUCUCCCACUCGAACCUCAACCCGAGCACAGCUAAGUGAGCUGAUUUUUUGGUGUUCAGACCUUCCGAGAUUGCUGGAAGUGUUGCACCUGCUUCAUUUGGGGAGCGCAGUACUUCAGUGGUCGAAAGGGGUACAACUAAUUGCAAGUAUAUAAACAAGGAGCGAGUGUUAAGAUGCUACGAUGGAGCCAUGGAGGUAACUCACUAAAUGAGCGGAUAAUGUUUUUCAAAUGAGAAUCAUGGAGCUCCGGUGGUUGAAAUACCAAACCCCAUCUUGUUUAGAGAAAUAAAUAAUUCGCACAUGUGGUAGAAUACUUACACGAAUUUGAGAAACUUUGGUCUUAAAAACUGAGGACAUAUGAGUGAGCAAGGAAGAAUACAAGUUUGUUCAAAGCAACAAAAUGUAUUGGUUACUUGACAGACCAUAUGAGUUUCUGUAGUUACCUAUUUUUGUCUAUCAAAUCGUAAGAUAAUGCAUCAUCUCAAUCUGAGAGGUGUAAAUGAUCAUGUCAUCUAAUAAUCGUAUCUAGGUUUGGCUUUAUUUGGUGACUGGAAUUUUCUAUUGCGAAAAGUUACUGGUGAUGGUACAUUAGAAUUACCAAACUGAACAGGUGGUACUAAAAAGUACUGGAAAAUCUCAAUGCCUAGAUGGUAUGAUGUGCCAUGUUCAUCACCGCCGGGAAUACUUUGAUAGGGCUAAAUUUUGCUCUAUAUGAUUUCCUGGGGGCUGUUUGGAAGAGAGGGAUUGGGCUAGGAGUUAGUUUAAUUUGUACGUUAGGACAAAGAUGAUUGAGUGAUGAAACUACAGUUGCUAAUUCAGUGUAGAGAUCCUACUUAAUGUACACAUCAACAUUCUUAUAGAGCAAUUUAAUACUGUAACUCUUAUCUUAUUCACCGUUAUUUCUGUUGAAGAUUGUUUGAAAUUAUUAGGCACUGGCCCUCUUCAAGUCCUACUUUAGUGCAACGGUGCAGAGACUAUGCACUUCGGUUAUCCUCAUAAUCCCAGUACCAUAAAUUUUGAAGUUAAAUAUAACCCAGGAAGGCGUACGGUCACCAUUUUCCUCCAAGGUCAGAGAUAUAUGAAAAAUGAAGUCGGUUGUAUUGGAUAUACAAAAAAUAAAUAUGUAUGUUCCUUUAUUUUCUAGGGAGAGUUCUAAUAUGUGACGUGACAGGAAAGAUCCUGAUGAAGUACUUCCUUUUUGGGAUGCCUAUCUGAAGUUGGGACUAAAUGACAAGAUUUAAUUGGCUUAGUAAAUAAAAAACUUGCUAAAGAAAAAUAAGAUUCAAAAUAGAUGUUUUUAUUAUAGAUUAGGAUUCGUGUGUUCUGCCACCGGGUUGACUUCUCAUAUCAGAAGGCAAGCCGUUAGUUCAUAUCAUGCUACUUUCCACUAUUGUAGUGAGAGAGAGAGAGGGAUUGAGAGGCUCCUACUUUUUGUAUUGUUGUCGAUGCUUGCACAAUGCUAUUGCUUAUUAUACUGGGGUAUUCAUCUUUGGAAUAAAAAACAAUCAUUUUCUCCCUUCAA